rnacentral:ncRNA from 1 species
CGGUUGGGAGGGCUGCCAACGCGGUCCACCGGACGCGAGUCCGCCCGGCUG